rnacentral:ncRNA from 1 species
AGAGUAGGGAUACAGGCGUUAAGUGACGUCCGGACGGGGAGUUGCCGGGUGUACGAAGCGAAAGCGCGGUCGGUAUCCCGCAUCCCGCU